AUGUAUACCUUAUGGAGUUUAUGGGAAGACCUUGCUGUGUGAUUGGGUGGUCCUAUUGUGUGACUGGACCCGUCUCUGAGGCGAUACGAUAUAAUCUCGAAAUGUAUAUAA